GUGCUUUGACAAGACAUAUACUAAAACCAGAACAAUACAGAGAAGAUGAACAUGGUCCCAUGCACAAGGAUGAAAUGUGAAUUUAUAAAGUGCUUUACAUUUUA
ensembl:snRNA U6 U6 spliceosomal RNA